rnacentral:lncRNA from 1 species
AUCUUCACACGAUAGAAAAUAAGAUCAGCUUGAUGUCAAGCCUUCAUAACAUGGUAACCAAACUUAGACAUGUUGCCUACUGUCCCUAGUUUCUCCCCCACAGGGGAUGCAUAGUGCUCCAGGUAUAAUAGAAACACCAACAUUUAUGUGCUACAUGAGUCCAGUGCCCGGUAGAGAAAUGUUGCCAUGAAUAUCGUUCAUUAGCUUACCAUCUAUAACAUGUGGUUACUAGUAUAUUGUUCUAGCUUCAUAGCCACCAUGACUCACCUCAAAUAAUUCAGAACGAUAAAGUUGUUUUCUCGAUGC